GAUGAACGCUAGCGGCAGGCUUAACACAUGCAAGUCGAGGGGUAGAGGAAGCUUGCUUCCUUGAGACCGGCGCACGGGUGCGUAACGCGUAUGCAACCUACCUUUUACAGAGGGAUAGCCCAGAGAAAUUUGGAUUAAUACCUCAUAGUAUAUGUUUUUCGCAUGUUAGACAUAUUAAAGUUCCAACGGUAAAAGAUGGGCAUGCGUCCUAUUAGCUAGAUGGUAAGGUAACGGCUUACCAUGGCAACGAUAGGUAGGGGUCCUGAGAGGGAGAUCCCCCACACUGGUACUGAGACACGGACCAGACUCCUACGGGAGGCAGCAGUGAGGAAUAUUGGACAAUGGGCGCAAGCCUGAUCCAGCCAUGCCGCGUGCAGGAAGAAGCAUCUAUGGUGUGUAAACUGCUUUUGUACGGGAAGAAACACUCCUUCGUGAAGGAGCUUGACGGUACCGUAAGAAUAAGGAUCGGCUAACUCCGUGCCAGCAGCCGCGGUAACAC
rnacentral:rRNA from 1 species